UUAUACACGCUAUUUUCCGGCGGAAUCUAAGUGUUGCAAUUUGCGAAAAGAAUGCCGAAUGCUCACAGAUGGGUGCAAUUAUACGAUCAAUUGUGUCAUUGACACUCUCGAAAAGGUACAAGUUCCGA
ensembl:ncRNA ZK795.8 ncRNA